rnacentral:ncRNA from 2 species
GGCACCGGUAGCAUCAGCGGCGCUUGCGGCAGCUCGAGAGGAAACCGGUGGGAAUCCGGUGCGGUCGCGCCACUGUCACCCGACCGCCCGCUGCCCGCGGGCAUCGGGGAGCCAGACCCUCCGCCGCUGCCGUUCCGAA